rnacentral:rRNA from 1 species
AUUGAACGCUGGCGGCAGGCCUAACACAUGCAAGUCGAGCGGAUGAAGGGAGCUUGCUCCUGGAUUCAGCGGCGGACGGGCGAGUAAUGCCUAGGAAUCUGCCUGGUCGUGGGGGAUAACGUCCGGAAACGGGCGCUAAUACCGCAUACGUCCUGAGGGAGAACGUGGGGGAUCUUCGGACCUCACGCUAUUAGCUGAGCCUAGGUCGGAUUAGCUAGUUGGUGGGGUAAAGGCCUACCAAGGCGACGAUCCGUAACUGGUCUGAGAGGAUGAUCAGUCACACUGGAACUGAGACACGGUCCAGACUCCUACGGGAGGCAGCAGUAGGGAAUAUUGGGCAAUGGGCGAAAGCCUGAUCCAGCCAUGCCGCGUGUGUGAAGAAGGUCUUCGGAUUGUAAAGCACUUUAAGUUGGGAAGAAGAGCAGUAAGUUAAUACCUUGCUGUUUUGACGUUACCAACAGAAUAAGCACCGGCUAACUUCGUG